AGCCUAGAACAAAUGAGAAAAAUAGGUCUAGAGCAUGGUGUGAUAGAAAGUGAGAUUGAUGCUACAUCGAUGACAUAGAAAGCGUUGAGGAAUGACAUCCAUGUCAGAGAUCCCGCCGCAACGAGUGUGCUGCCAAACUUCACAAACAUCACAGGCAAUCAUGCGCUCUCCGUCGUCAUCUUUCGUACCACAAGGGCAGUCAACAGUCCAGCUUUCCAUACCACCCUCGUAACGCCAGUCGUGGCAAGUGUGGAUACCGCUGCCCUCCACACGUACAUGAGAACCCGAUUCGAUAGUUCCAAACAACAGAUCUUCGUCGUCGCAUACUAGAUCAGGAAUUGAUUCCACGCAGAAACUGUGCAUGAUGAAGUAUGUCUCACGGAAUGCCCUCUGCGCCUCGAGUUUGAGAUCUCUAACUGUUGCGUGAGGGGGAAGAACGACCAACUCAGGAGGAGGGCUAGGCCUGUUUCGUACAGGAUCUUCGUCGUUCAGAACGACUGUACACAUCACUCUCAACAACUCAUCGUCGUCCAUAUUCCAGUCGUUGUUAGCCGACUUG
rnacentral:lncRNA from 1 species